rnacentral:tRNA from 1 species
GCCGCGGUAGCUCAGGGGUAGAGCACGCCCUUGGUAAGGGCGGGGUCAGAGGUUCAAUUCCUCUUCGCGGCACCA